GUUCGUCUGCUGACCACAGCUGGCCAGGCUUGUUUCCAUAUUUGUUGUGGUUAUAAUCGGGAAAUUUGCCCGUAGGAACAUCGUUCAUGCAAGUUUCUCUAUGAGGACAUACGUAAUGGCAGCCAAAGUUUUAGCGCUGCAAGUUGACCAUGUGGUUUCACCUACGACGCCACGAGAGGGACUCAUGAUAAAACCUAUUGGGAGAUACGUUACCAUCCCUGGCGCAUACGUUUCCAGAACUAUCAUGGGACAUCCCCAAACUAUAGAUCUCUACUCACUUGUGGCCAAUUUCAUGAGCCAUUACGUAGACUGAGUUAAAACCAGUGGAAGGAUAUGUUUGACCUUGUUGGUUUGUUACACCAAGCUCUCCAAUAACACAGUUGUAAAUACCAGUGCAAACACCAGUGACAGUGGAUAGACCUUUUGUUAUUGUGAAUAUGGUCUACAAUUAUCUUCUUUAAGGCAAAAAAAUCCAGCCCAGACAGUAAAAGUGCCAUAUCCCAAUGCUCUGCAUCAUUGUCUGAAGGCUUGUUCAGUUUUGUUUGAAAAGCACAGAAUGAAUCAAGCAUUUUGCCACGUUCACCGCCAGUGUGUAGCGUGGCUGGUGGCUUUGCAUGGAAUUCCAUGUAAACUAUCGACAAGUCGACUCGCUGACCCAGACUAGGAAGAAAUUUUCUUACCGCAUUGACAAAGGCAAGAACCAACUCACGAAGCUUAACAUACUCUUGUGUCCCAAAAUAUGGCAUAAACAAAGCCAAAGCUGCUGAAUCCACAAAGAUUCCCAGUUCAAUCACUUUGUUGGGUGCAGAUUUUUCAGUAAUCGAUUUUUCCAGAGCAUUUUUUCGUGUGUGUUGAUUUUGUUUCCCGGAUCGGUUAUGGUCAAUUUUAUCUGCCUUUUACCACUGGUUCCCGAGUUACGUUCUUGGCCCUCAUCCGAAUUGUUUUGCGCGUUCACCUUCACAGCUUGCUUGAUGGGCUUGAAAAUGGGGUAGUGGAUCAAUUGGCCGAACGAUGUGAGCCCCAAUGAUAAUAGUUUCGUCCUCGUUAUCAGGAGGAAGGCUGAGCAUCUGACGAAAUCUCGAAGGUACUGGUCUGAUUUCCAAGGAUUUUCCUUCAUCGAUUAAUGACUGAGAGCGGCGACUACUUCACCAUCAGUGUGGAGAAAAUGACAUUCGGUGCCUCUGGGAUGUUCUUUCACAAUUUCCUCGCCCAGUAAUCCACCACUUCGUACGACCGUCUUCAUAUUUGGCGCCAUAAGAAACGUGUUAGGUCGCAUCUUUAGCAAAAUUUCCAUACUUUCCAUUGGCAGAGAAAGAAUAAUGAGCAUGGCUGUCUUGUGGACUGCUUCUCUUCGUGUUACGAUUAUCGCCGUUCGGGAAAGGACGUGUAGGGGCGGACACUCGGUGACGGCGAAUGUAGAUUACUUCAUAUUCGUCAACUUGCGAUGAAUUGACAACCCCAAAUAUUCGACCCAACUCGUCCACAGUCAUCAACGUGUGCAACUUGCGAAAUAACUAGAAAGUUAAUACUAGGACCAUAUCACUCCAAAAACACAACUGGCUUGUGAUGUGAUAUCAGCUCUCACUGUAGACAUGGAUCUCGGAAGUUCUUCAGACCUAUGUCAGCCAUAAAAGUGUGGAGAUACUGUGCUGGUUUUAGAAUAAUAUCAAAGACAACAAUGCAGCUUUGAAUCAGCAAGGUAACUAUUGUCAUUUGGUUAGACCAUUAAACCAUACUUUCAAAAUAAAGUUUCUCAUUUGGAAUUUGGGUUUCUAAAUGGAUUAGCGUCUAAAUAAUGUUACAUUUGUGCAUGUUAUGUUGAUAGGUGCACAAGCAAACAAGCCUUAGUUGCAUCACCAGCUUAAAUAUUCUACCUGUGUUAUUGCACUAGCUAUUAGUACAUUUCUUGUUGAACCUCUUUAACUGGAUCUAGCAGGAUUAGCUGAGAUGUGAUUUUGUGAUUUCACAUAUUUUUAAACCUUUUUGGCUCUUGGCGCUGCGUUCCUCUAGAAUUUAUCCUGUUGCGUUCAACAACAGUCGACUUACGGGACUAACGAUGAGAACAUUAGCAGCAGUGAAUUUGAUUGCAGUCUGGCGUUUGCUGCUGGUCAUUCACGAGUUCCCAGCCAAUUGUUGAGGACUUACGCCAAUUAAAUAUGGCCUCCGCAUCAAAUAUAAUCAAAUCCAUCAAUAGCUUUACUCCUAUGUAGGGGUACAGCUGAAAUGGAAGGGAUACCAACCAUUUUUAGCCUUCCGUUCUACCUUGAUCCAACCGUUCACUUGUCGCCAUCGUUACUCUGCCAUCGACGGCCUCGUCUUGGCUGCCAUUAAAACUUUUUUUUUUUUGUUUUGUUUUGACAAACGAGUAAUUGAUUACAAAGACAAUGAUGAUUUCGAAAAAUCAGCAACAACGAUAGCAGUAUGCGGUUCAACCAUACCAAAAACAGCCUAUUGUAAUCUAGCAUUCGCACCUUGAAACAGAAGCCAAUGAUCAACUCCACUCGCAAACCAGAGUGUGUCGAUUUCUUGCUUUAAUUUCAUUAGAAUGGGUCAUCCAAAUCAUACGGACGUGAUUCUGGCAAUGGCAGCUCCGAACAAAAUUAUUCUUCUCCACAUCAGCAACAACAGCAAACUAGUGGAAUUAUAUACUGACCACGUGGAAACAACUACGCCCAUCUAGAUUCCUAACCGAUCAAACUAACUCGCUCCGUUUGGCCGAUAAUCACAAACAACAAUUAGAGGCUCCAACAAGGACAGCUACAUGAAAAUUGACCUGAGACAAGCUGGAGGUGCCCGAAAAAUGUGGAAUGAUGAAACGGAAGAAGGUGAAAGCGGAAUACUUUCUGAUCCUGUUUAUGAGGAGAUUGAACGUAGCGCAAGAUGUAGCGGUGGCAAUCUCUGUCCAUGCAAUAACAAAUACCAAAGUCAGUUGCAACGAGAACGGACGGUCUUGCACUACCAGCAGCCGUUGGAUCUAUGCAUCUUGUGGCCAGUGAACUGUUCUGGAACAGCAACGGAUUCCUGUCGUCCAACAGAAGCUCACCCUCUCAUCUACCGAGUGCUGAUCAAGUUUGAAAAACGAAAAAAGUUGAAAAGAAAAGAAAUUAAUGAUCAGAAUUGAAGAGGACGCUUGCAAUGUCAAGAGAAGAAUCACAUAGAAAAGAAAAUUUCGUAUCAUGUGAUGUAAACUUUGCGCAUGUGGAUAAUCAGAGAUAAAGAGGAGAAUUUCUCUUUUUUUUUUUCAUUUUCUAUACGAAAAUAGGAAAGAAACAAAGAAAGGGAAAAUAGAUUUACAUUUUAAAAAGCGUGUUAUUGCCGUUGUCUCUUACAAUUUACCUGAAUAUCAUGAGUGGUUUGACGUGGUUUUAGUCAAUGAUACGUCUAUAUAAUGAUAUAUUUAAUUAUAUUAUGUAUGUACACACAAAAAAGCUCAGAAUAUCAACCCUACAAUCCUCUCCCCUCCAACUGACUUGAUUAUUUCGCGUUAUAGUUAUGUGUCUCCCGUCUAAUCCAACUGUGUCGAUGAAGAAACUUGUGUUUAACAAAUACACAACUUGGUCUGAACUGCA